GACGAACCGUGCGAACGUUAUUCGGAAUCACUGGGCUUAAAGCGCGUGUAGGCGGGCCGGCACGUCGGUCGUUGAAAUCCCCCGGCUCAACCGGGGAAGCGGCGCCGAUACGACCGGCCUCGAGGGACGUAGGGGGGGCUGGAACUUCCGGUGGAGCGGUGAAAUGCGUUGAGAUCGGAAGGAACGCCCGUGGCGAAAGCGAGCCCCUGGACGUCUACUGACGCUGAGACGCGAAAGCCAGGGGAGCGAACAGG
rnacentral:rRNA from 1 species